UGCCCAGAAACUCCUAUCCCUACUUCCGCGUGGCACCGGCCGGGCUGCGUACAGCCUUAGGAAAGAUCGGGUAAUCAACACCGGUGACAACUUUUACCGUAGGCUGACAGGGAAGG
rnacentral:ribozyme from 1 species